GCAUUAUCUCAGUCGAGAUCCUACGGGAGGCAGCAGUGGGGAAUUUUGGACAAUGGGCGCAAGCCUGAUCCAGCCAUGCCGCGUGAGUGAAGAAGGCCUUCGGGUUGUAAAGCUCUUUCGGCGGGGACGAAACGGUCCGGGCUAACACCACGGACUAAUGACGGUACUCGCAGAAGAAGCACCGGCUAACUACGUGCCAGCAGCCGCGGUAAUACGUAGGGUGCAGGCGUUAAUCGGAAUUACUGGGCGUAAAGCGUGCGCAGGCGGCUCCUUAAGUCAGAUGUGAAAGCCCCGGGCUUAACCUGGGAACUGCGUUUGAAACUGGGGAGCUAGAGUGUGGAAGAGGGGGGUGGAAUUCCAGGUGUAGCAGUGAAAUGCGUAGAGAUCUGGAGGAACACCGAUGGCGAAGGCAGCCCCCUGGGCUAACACUGACGCUCAUGCACGAAAGCGUGGGGAGCAAACAGGAUUAGAUACCCUGGUAGUCCACGCCCUAAACGAUGUCAACUAGUUGUCGGGGAAGCAAUUCCUUGGUAACGAAGCUAACGCGUGAAGUUGACCGCCUGGGGAGUACGGCCGCAAGGUUAAAACUCAAAGGAAUUGACGG
rnacentral:rRNA from 1 species